CCUGGUGCUUAUGGCGGUGUGGAACCACUCCGACCCAUCCCGAACUCGGUUGUGAAACGCACCUGCGGCGAAGAUACUUUGGGGGUUGCCCCACGGGAAAAUAGCUCAGUGCCAGGG
rnacentral:rRNA from 1 species